rnacentral:rRNA from 1 species
CCAAUAGCGUAUAUUAAAGUUGUUGCAGUUAAAAAGCUCGUAGUUGAAUUUUAGGCCUGGCCGGACGGUCCGUCUCUGGCGAGUACUGUUCUGUCGUCGGGUCUAUCCUUCUGGUGAGCCGGUAUGUUCUUAAUUGAGCGUGCCGGGGAGCCAGGACCAUUACCUUGAAAAAAUUAGAGUGUUUAAAGCAGGCUUUUGCUUGAAUAGAUUAGCAUGGAAUAAUAGAAUAGGACGUUGUGGUUCUAUUUUGUUGGUUCAAGGACCACCGUAAGGAUUAAUAGGGAUAGUUGGGGGCAUUAGUAUUCAAUUGUCAGAGGGGAAAUUCUUGGAUUUAUUGAAGACUAACUACUGCGAAAGCAUUUGCCAAGGAUGUUUUCAUUAAUCAAGAACGAAAGUUAGGGGAUCGAAGACGAUCAGAUACCGUCGUAGUCUUAACCAUAAACUAUGCCGACUAGGAAUCGGGCGACGUUAUUUUUACGACUCGCUCGGCGCCUUAUG